rnacentral:rRNA from 1 species
CUACGGGAGGCAGCAGUGGGGAAUAUUGCACAAUGGGCGAAAGCCUGAUGCAGCGACGCCGCGUGAGGGAUGACGGCCUUCGGGUUGUAAACCUCUUUCAGCAGGGAAGAAGCGAAAGUGACGGUACCUGCAGAAGAAGCGCCGGCUAACUACGUGCCAGCAGCCGCGGUAAU